rnacentral:misc_RNA from 1 species
GGAAUAUUGCACAAUGGGCGCAAGCCUGAUGCAGCCAUGCCGCGUGUAUGAAGAAGGCCUUCGGGUUGUAAAGUACUUUCAGCGGGGAGGAAGGGAGUAAAGUUAAUACCUUUGCUCAUUGACGUUACCCGCAGAAGAAGCACCGGCUAACUCCGUGCCAGCAGCCGCGGUAAUACGGAGGGUGCAAGCGUUAAUCGGAAUUACUGGGCGUAAAGCGCACGCAGGCGGUUUGUUAAGUCAGAUGUGAAAUCCCCGGGCUCAACCUGGGAACUGCAUCUGAUACUGUCAAGCUUGAGUCUCGUAGAGGGGGGUAGAAUUCCAGGUGUAGCGGUGAAAUGCGUAGAGAUCUGGAGGAAUACCGGUGGCGAAGGCGGCCCCCUGGACGAAGACUGACGCUCAGGUGCGAAAGCGUGGGGAGCAAACAGGA